GACGAACGCUGGCGGCGUGCUUAACACAUGCAAGUCGAACGGACAGGCCAUGCUUUUGUGGGGUGCUCGAGUGGCGAACGGGUGAGUAACACGUGAGUAACAUGCACUUGACUUUGGGAUAACUUCAGGAAACUGGGGCUAAUACCGGAUAGGAGCUCCUGAUGCAUGGUGGGGGAUGGAAAGUUUCGGCGGUUGGGGAUGGACUCGCGGCUUAUCAGCUUGUUGGUGGGGUAGUGGCUUACCAAGGCUUUGACGGGUAGCCGGCCUGAGAGGGUGACCGGCCACAUUGGGACUAAGAGACGGCGCAGACUCCUACGGGAGGCAGCAGUGGGAAGUAUUGCACAAUGGGCGGAAGCCAGAUGUAGCAACGCCGCGUGCGUGAUGACGGCCUUCGGGUUGUAAACCACUUUCGCCGGUGACGAAGCGUGAGUGACGGUAAUGGGUAAAGAAGCACCGGCUAACUACGUG
rnacentral:rRNA from 1 species